rnacentral:rRNA from 1 species
AGGACGAACGCUGGCGGCGUGCCUAACACAUGCAAGUCGCACGGGACCAGCAAUGGUUCAGUGGCGGACGGGUGCGUAACACGUGAGGAACAUGCCUAUCGGCGGGGGAUAGCCGGCCCAACGGCCGGGUAAUACCGCGUACGACCUUCGGGUGGCAUCACCUGAUGGUGAAAGCAGCAAUGCACCGAUAGAGUGCCUCGCGGCCUAUCAGCUAGUUGGUGAGGUAACGGCUCACCAAGGCGACGACGGGUAGCUGGUCUGAGAGGAUGUCCAGCCACACUGGGACUGAGACACGGCCCAGACUCCUACGGGAGGCAGCAGUGGGGAAUCUUGCACAAUGGGCGAAAGCCUGAUGCAGCGACGCCGCGUGCGGGAUGAAGGCCCUCGGGUCGUAAACCGCUUUCAGCAGGGACGAUAGUGACGGUACCUGCAGAGAACGCCCGGCACUACGUGCCAGCAGCCGC